rnacentral:rRNA from 1 species
GUGGGGAAUAUUGCACAAUGGGGGAAACCCUGAUGCAGCGACGCCGCGUGAGCGAAGAAGGCCUUCGGGUCGUAAAGCUCUUUUAUGAGGGAAGAUAAUGACGGUACCUCAAGAAAAAGCCCCGGCUAACUACGUGCCAGCAGCCGCGGUAAUACGUAGGGGGCUAGCGUUGUCCGGAAUCACUGGGCGUAAAGGGUUCGCAGGCGGAAUAACAAGUCAGAUGUGAAAGGCAUGGGCUCAACCCAUGUAAGCAUUUGAAACUGUAAUUCUUGAGAAGUGGAGAGGUAAGUGGAAUUCCUAGUGUAGCGGUGAAAUGCGUAGAUAUUAGGAGGAAUACCUGUGGCGAAGGCGACUUACUGGACACAAAUCUGACGCUGAGGAACGAAAGCGUGGGUAGCAAACAGGA